rnacentral:tRNA from 2 species
GCCCUCGUAGCUCAGUUGGCCAGAGCAGCGCUCUUGUAAAGCGAAGGUCCGCGGUUCGAAUCCGUGCGGGGGCA